CCAAGGAGUCUAACAUGUGCGCGAGUCGCAGGGUUGCUCGCUGUGAGACAUCGAAAGAACCCGAAGGCGCAAUGAAAGUGAAGGUCAGAAGAACUAGCUGACCUAGGCGGGAUCCUUCCCGAGGCGUCGCCGCAUGACCCACUGUGGCUGCGGGAGCCCGGAGGCGCACCGCCGGCCCGUCUCGACCGCUUUACUGUCGGCGAGGCGGANCAAGAGCGCACACGUUGGGACCCGAAAGAUGGUGAACUAUGCUCGGGCAGGACGAAGCCAGAGGAAACUCUGGUGGAGGUCCGUAGCGAUUCUGACGUGCAAAUCGAUCGUCAGACCCGUGUAUAGGGGCGAAAGACUAAUCGAACCGUCUAGUAGCUGGUUCCCUCCGAAGUUUCCCUCAGGAUAGCUGCCACUCGGUGAGGAACGCAGUCUCAUCCGGUAAAGCGAAUGAUUAGAGGCCUUGGGGCCGAAACGACCUCAACCUAUUCUCAAACUUUCAAUGGGUGAGAAGUCCGGAUUGCCUUGACUGAAGCCCGGAUACAUGCGAGGGGGUCUGCGGACCUUGCUCGGUUUGUUUGCGUGAGGAUGCGAGUGGCAAGUGGGCCAUUUUUGGUAAGCAGAACUGGCGCUGUGGGAUGAACCAAACGCCGGGUUAAGGCGCCCGAUGCGGACGCUCAUCAGACCCCAUGAAAGGUGUUGGUUGCUAUAGACAGCAGGACGGUGGCCAUGGAAGUCGGAAUCCGCUAAGGAGUGUGUAACAACUCACCUGCCGAAGCAACUAGCCCUGAAAAUGGAUGGCGCUCCAGCGUCGAGCCCAUACCCGGCCGCCGGGGCAGAGAUACGAAAUAUACCACUUACUCUUUGAAUUGCAUUGACUCUAGUACAUGUGAAAAAAUGCCCCGGCGAGUAGGAGGGUCGCGGCGGCGUGCGUUGAAGGUGUCGGGCGUAGGCCCGCCUGGAGCCGCCGUCGGUGCAGAUCUUGGUGGUAGUAGCAAAUACUCGAGUGAGAACCUUGAGGACUGAAGUGGAGAAGGGUUCCAUGUGAACAGCAGUUGAACAUGGGUCAGUCGGCCCUAAGGAAUAGGGGAAACCCGUUCCGAAAGUGGGGUGUCGUGGAAAAAUAUGCAGAACUGGCACGACAUGUGUAGCAACCCCAAGCUGACCGAAAGGGAAUCGGGUUAAUAUUCCCGAACCCGGAUGCGGAAGUCGGACCCUUCGGGGUCCAAUGCGGUAACGCAAACGAACUCGGAGACGUCGGCGGGAGCCCCGGGAAGAGUUGUCUUUUCUUUGUAAGGGACGGACUCCCUGGAAUCGGCUCGCCCGGAGAGAGGGAUGUUGUUCCCGUAAAGCACCGCGGCUCUUGCGGUGUCCGGAGCGCUCCCGCCGGCCCUUGAAAAUCCGAGGGAGAGAACUCGAUUUUCGCACCGGACCGUACCCAUAUCCGCAGCAG
rnacentral:rRNA from 1 species